GGGGAUGUAGCUCAGUUGGUAGAAUGCCUGCCUCAUAUGUACAAGGUCCUGGGUUCAAUCCCCAGCACCCCCA
rfam:Ictidomys tridecemlineatus contig042614, whole genome shotgun sequence.